rnacentral:rRNA from 1 species
UACGUAGGGUGCGAGCGUUAAUCGGAAUUACUGGGCGUAAAGCGUGCGCAGGCGGCUUUGUAAGUCAGAUGUGAAAUCCCCGAGCUCAACUUGGGAACUGCGUUUGAAACUACAAGGCUAGAAUAUGUCAGAGGGGGGUAGAAUUCCACGUGUAGCAGUGAAAUGCGUAGAGAUGUGGAGGAAUACCAAUGGCGAAGGCAGCCCCCUGGGAUAAUAUUGACGCUCAUGCACGAAAGCGUGGGGAGCAAACAGG